UACGUAGGGGGCAAGCGUUGUCCGGAUUUAUUGGGCGUAAAGAGCGUGUAGGCGGCCAUACAGGUCCGUUGUGAAAACUGGAGGCUUAACCUCCAGACGUCGAUGGAAACCGUAUGGCUAGAGUCCGGAAGAGGAGAGUGGAAUUCCUGGUGUAGCGGUGAAAUGCGCAGAUAUCAGGAAGAACACCGGUGGCGAAGGCGGGUCUCUGGGCCGUAACUGACGCUGAGGAGCGAAAGCGUGGGGAGCGAACAGG
rnacentral:rRNA from 1 species